CUAUGGCUUUUAAAGACAUUAUGGAAAUCUUACUGUGAAAUGGAUUAAAAAGUGCUGUUUGAUGAUCUUAGGGGAAUGGUGUUAAGCAUGGAGAUUUUUUUGGAAAGCAAAAUGGAAACUUAUCAGAAAGGUGCUGUAUUUCCAUGAGCAGCUGCAUAGCCAGUAAUAGCUCUGGUCUAGAAGCGGGGAGCUUGCUUAGGAAAAGCACGGCAGGGACAUAUAAUGUAAGGAGAAAAUGUAAUGUGCUUGAAUAUGGACUGUAGUAAUUCCCUAGAGGAUGAUGGAGUGACUGCUUUUUGUGAGAAUACUGAGGCAAAAUUUAUUAAAUUGCUACCAAAGUUGUAGAGAAGUGUGUUCUGUAAAGAUUUCUAGUGCAUUUUAUCAAAACCAUUUUAUCAAGGCCAGAUUGGAUGGGGUCUAGUGGAGUUGUAACGAGAUGAUCUUUAAGGUCCCUUCUGACCCAAACCAUUUUAUGGUUCUAUUAAAGUGUUCAUGUCACAAAAAGGAGAUACAUGCAAGUCCAAGACUUUAAUCAACAAAAAGGCAAAAUGAAGCUCUUUCAGCUCUUUCUUUAUUCAUGAAUACAAAUAUUUGCUUGUUUCUGUAUUUGGUGGAGGUAAAGUUGUCCUUAACUGGCCUGCAAAAUAUUUCCUAGAGGUAUAGCUCAGAUUUAACAUGUGCAGGAAAUUGUUUUGAAUUCACUGGAAGUCCACCAGCUCUUUCUAAAUAAAACCAUAUUAGUGUAGAUGUUGAACUGCUACAACAAAAGUUAUGUUUCUCAGAGAGAGGAAAUUAAAUUGUCUUUUUAUUUGCAUUUCUUUAGAGCUCAGUCCCAGUGUCUUAUUGAUGGAAAAUCAGAAGGAGACAGUCUUCAAAAUGGCCAAUCAACUGAAGAAACCAGGCUGGGAACAUCUGUAUCUUCCCGUUUGAAAGCCUCGCCUGUUGCUUGCUCCUACAGAGUACCUGGAAAUGCUGACCACUCACUUUGCCAGCUGAAGACUGCCUGGUCAACUCUGCUGGAAGCCUGGGAUCAUGGAGAAGGAGACAGACUGUAGCACUGUGCUGCAAGUAUGGGAAACAUGGAAUUAGUUUUGUGGAGGCCACAAGGAGGGAGCAGUCUGGUGAAUAUUCACACGGACACUACAUCCAGUCUGGUAGGGAGAAGCCGAAAUGUACUUUGCAUGUUUAUGGGAACAUGGAGGGUGCUGUGCUAGGCCAAGCUGAUUAAGUCUGGUAUCCUGCUUCAGACAACAAGGAACACUGGCUGCCAGAGGAGAUGCAAGAAAUGCUGUAGUAAAACAAAGAAUUUCCCAUGCAGCAUGGACAUUUCUUGUCAUCCUACAAUAUCUAGGUCGCUAGUUAAUCACGUCAACAACUAGUCACCAGCACGAGUUGGGAAGGGUGAAGGCUUUACACUGAACUGUUCCAGUCAAUGCCCUAUAUGAUUCCUCUCACUUAGCUGAAACAGUAAUGAACAAGGAAUGAUACCCUCCUCAUCCUGUUCCUUCUGACAAACCCCGUAUUGUUAUCAAAGGUGUAGGUUCAAACCUGUCAUUAUCUCACACAGAGCACAGUAAAUAUCGUGACUAAGAGUUAACAGUGUGUCAACAAUGAUCAUCUGUGAGUCUUACUGUCAUGAUUUAUGUGAACUGAACCAAGUUGUCAGCUGCCUUCUUCAGUGACAAUGCAGCAACUACUCUGAAUAACCAUCUUCCAUGACUGAAUACUACAGGUAAAAAAUGCAGGUGAACAAUAUUUUACACACAGAGAUAUGUAACUGAUUACAUUACAAAGAACUGCAAGAACUUGUAGUUUAUUUUUCACUUUUAGGAAUUUGAGUGAGGAGAUCUCAUUAUCCAGAAUCAGAAUGCAUCUUGCUUGGUGAAUACAAUAAAAAAUGGGUUCUUCAAUUCGCUAAUCCACAAACAUUUCAGAAAGAGAGAGAGUUCAGCAGCACAAGAAAGAUGUAUUAUUCCUAGAAAUCUCCAGACUCAACUGCUGUCCUGUAUCUGAUUCAGUAGCAUGGCAGUUAUAACUGAGCACAAACAUACCUCUGUUAGUAAACAGGAAGAAGGUGGGCAGCAGCACCAAGAUGGCUUUGGGCUGUGUGAGUACCAAGGUCAGGGCUGUGAGAUUGCUGAUAUGGGUAAGGUGGUCAGGGUUGCAGAGGGAAAAUCUGAAUUGCCCAUCACUGUGUUGUGAUAAGAAAGGAGAUGCACAAGGAGGAUGGUAAGCUUGGUGGGCACCUAACAAGGCAAAAAUGAGAGAAAAUAAUGCUUCAUUUCUAUUUCUUUGACUAGUAAUUUGCUUACCUUUUCCUUUAGAUUGAAUACUCUGUGUAAGAGAAAGCACUGAGUGCAGCAUUGAAACAUAGUGUGUUUACACUACGUUAGUGUACUAUUACAGACAUUGUGUGACACGACUGGGGAGAGGAUGGGUUAUCAACAGGUAGCCAGAAGCCUGGGGAGAGUUUCUUAAAAUUUGUGUGCUUCCAUGUGCAUCUCUUCAAAUCCAACCCAGUCUGUUUUGGGAAAAAAACUAUGACUGUGCUUCAUUUAUGAAAAAAAAUAGUUAAAUCGGGACAAAAAUAUAAGAUCUGUGUAGUUCCUGAAGACAGGAAUUUCUCACAGGAUGUUGCUAGGGCAUCAGAUAAAAAUUUUAACAAAUGGGUGUAAAAUUUUUAUCACAAGUCUGUGUUUAGGAACCCUUGGAACUGCUUAUAUUUUCAAAAGUGUGGAAUCAUGGACAACUUCAGCUGCUCUCUUCUUUGUGCUUUUAUUUUGUGAACAGAAUAGAGCUCAGUUGUUCAGGCUUUGUGCAAGUUUUUCUACUUGCCUGAAUUGGGAAUCAUAGACUAUCCUGACUGGGAAAAGGACCCACAUGGAUCAUUGAAAUCCAGUUCCUGGCCCUGCACAGGAUCACCCCAAAAUCAUACCAUGUGCCUGAGAGUGUUGUCAAAAUGCUUCCUGAACUUCUUCAUACCUGGUGCUGUGAUCACUUCCCCAGAAAGCCUGUUCCAGUGCCCAACCACCCUCUGGGUGAAGAACCUUUUCCUAAUAUGCAACCUAAAUCUCCCCUGACACAACUACCACAGGCCAUUCCCUCUGGUCCUGUCACUGGUCACCACAGAGAAGAAUAUGCAUAAGAGACCAUAAGAUGAAUCAGCUACUUUUCCUGUCCUUUAUUUGGAGUUCUUUAAAAUGAUCAAAUCUCUGCAGAUGCAUAAGCUUAUCAAAAUAUAAAUAAAUGAAAAUGAAAAUUUUCUGUUAAAUGCCUUCUCUCUCUCCACUCCAAACUCGUGGUUGGAGGUUCCUUCUUAUCAGUCAGAUCCCUGCACCAAUCAGUGUGUGGACACAACCUUCCUGCCUCCCAAUGGCUCCUCAGGGGGAGAAAAAUCUGCCCAAAUGCUCCUAAACAGAGAUUAUGUCUUCACUGAUUAAACUUCUUGAGGUAGUGAUGUGUCCAACUGGGCUUAUGACUGCAAAUGAUGAUUAGUUUCAAGCAUAGUCCCAAGGGCAAAAAAGGCUUCACCUGCCAAAUUUGGUUAGUUUUCCCAGUUGAAAUGUUUGUUGAUGACUUGCAUGUGUGGUUGAUGAGCUAUAUCCUCAAACAUCUCAGUUAUAUUUAUCUUAUUGCCAAUUUCUGUUGACAGGCUUUUGGAGGGAGGAGAGAACAUCAUGAAUGCAGAAGAGCAUCUCCAUUACUUAGGUAAUUUUCUUUUUCCCAGCACAUGGAUCUAAAAUGGCCCUGCUGUCUUGUUGCCAUUUCUUAAUUGCAUGGGUCAGAAUUUAGUUAGCAUUAAUUUUCUGUCCCUAAGUGUUUGAAGUCUAGAGCUAUUCCAGAGAAUAAUUCUAUUUCAUAACAGCCUUACUGUCAUGAAUGUGUCUUGAUCAUCCCUAUUUCAGCCAUUCAGAGAUCCAUGUCUGAGCAAUUCUUGGUAGUAAAUUGUUUCUGGCAGUCGGUGCAUGAAGACUUUUGAAAUAAGAUCAUUUGUAGGAGAGAAACAUUAGGAAAGUUGUGAGCCCAUUAGGGACCUGAUUGCAAGACAGUAUUGUCCUGAUUCUUCCAUUUUGUAAUGUGGGGAGAUCCAGCUGUUUUACAACCUGAAGUCACAGUGAAACCUUGGGCCAUAUAACUGAUUUCCCAGUGUGCUCAUGGUGAUCAGUGCUCGGGACCAGACAGCCCAGGAUGUGGCAUUUCUCCCUGUCUGUGCUUUGUAGGGGUGUGGGCUUCAGGGAGCUCCUUCCCUACUGCUGGAAGAAUCGACUUUAUGUUGAGUAAGUUCGAAAGAGGACCCUGGCUUCUAGACAGAUGUUCUGAUAUGUGGGGCACGUCUGGGUGUAUGUGGCAUGAUGACUGAGCAGAGGCUGUCACUUAUGCGCCUGUUUAAAAGACUCGUAGGAGUGCUACCAGCAAGCAGCUCUUGGGGCCAGCCAUAUCUGUGCAGUGCUUUUGGGGGUACGUCCACUCUCUCUUGAGCAACUGAGCAAGUGCCCAGAAAGUCAGAUGAAUGCUGUGCCCCAUACAUCACUUCCUAAACAUUGCCCUGUCUCUAAUCCACAGCUGCUGUGGACUUUCAGCAUAACGUCGCUUUGUUUGAAUAAGCAGCAACAGCGUCUAAAGAAGCAAUAGAUUUUGAGACAACUGGAGCAAUCAUUCUUUGAUCCCUGGCAAAGCCCAGGGGCUUGAUUAUUAUCCAGUGGAAGGAGCUGAGAUAAAUAAGUUUUCAGGGGUAGGCAACUCAAAAGAGGUCAGGCUGGAGGAGGAUUAGAGUGACGGGUGAGAGGGUGCGCCCUCCUCCCAGGAUAAUGAGGUUAGUCAUGAGCAAGCCACAGGGUCCUCUCAGAGCCCAGUGCUUUUACAGGGCUCACAUGCAUUUUCUAGGAGCAGGCAGGAAUGCUUCUCUCCAUAGACCUUUGUCACCUCCUUGGAAGCUGAUCAAACGCAUUUUAAUAAAAACCACCAUUUGACUCCUAAUGUUUUUAUACUGAUUAAGAACAUUGACUUGGCUGACUGAACAAGGGAACCCAUUGUAGCUCAGCUGCUUUAUGUUGGAAAAGCUUUGAUCGGACUGAGUGGGAGUUUAAGGUACUCUAUAAAAUGAAUUUUGGUGAUAAGCUUAUAAACUGAAUUUGAACCUUGCACAGGCGCCAGAGACAAGGAAUAAACAGCUCAAUUUAUAUUCUCUAAGGAUACACACCAAGAUGUCCCUUUAACCUUUAGUUAUAUUGCAUUGGGGGUCAACCUGUUUCUUAAACUGUUUGAAAUUAUUUGUCCAGAUUAGCUGUCCAUGCUGAAGAUGGAGAGCUUUGAGGGUGGUUCCCAAGAACCCUGAAACCAACUAUAAUGAAUGAGUUUGGUGCUUUACUUGGAGAAAAAAAAGCUGAAUGAGUUAUGGAGCUGCUAAGUAGCCCCAGUUCAUUCACACAUAGUUGAGGAUGAUGUGCUUAUCUUGAUCCCAACACAGUAUUGUUAGAAUACCUUAUUUCAAGGGCAUUCCUGUCUGACAUCUUCCCUCCCUCCCAUUACUUAUCAGCCUCUGUAGUUAUAUACAGAGAAUUAGAAGACACUGGUAUCUGACAGGAAACCUGGGGAGCAUGUAGGAUUCAUCUCCCAUUUCUGCUGAAGCUGGUGAUGAAACUUGCAGUGGAUCAAGUGGAAACAAGCUCAGGUGGUCAUCCUGUGAAAUCUUCUGGUCCAACACAUCUGGGGAGGGUGUAAACGCACAGGAGACAGUCUGAAGAGUCUGCUAACUGGUCAAGUAAUUAUUCACCACCACUGGUGUGUGCAGCACCGAUCCCAGCACAGCCAUUAGGGAGAGUCCAAGGCUGCUGCAAACCCCAGGAACAAAGGAAUUGCACAUUGCAGCAGCAGCGCGGUCUUUGCCCAGAAGAGAUUCUCUUUAGAAGGUGAGAUUGUGAUCUGUCUGAAUAUAUGUCUACAUACUUUAUCAGAGGUUUUACUCAACUGAUACGUAAGUCUCACAACAACGGGAAAAGACAGUUCUAUUUCCAUUUUUUCAGGGUGGAGGCUGGAAAUGAAAAACCUGAGGUCUGGCUCUGUGAUGGCCUUCUGCAUAUCUGCAGGCAAGCCACUCCCAAUAUCAUGCUGUUCCUGAAGUCUCUCCACAUCUACCCCAAGAGAUAAUUGCUGAGAUCCAGCAGCCCCCUGAGCAGUCAUUCCUCCUUCCCAGCUUCAAAACAAAUGCACUCCAUUUAUCAUAAUAAAAGGAAUAUUUUUUUUUAAACCUAGAUUACAUUUUGUGCCCUGCAUAUGUGCAUAUGCCUCUUCAUCCCUCCCGGUGGCUUCUACCCUAAUACCCAACUCCAAAUAAGUAUAGAGACCUCAGUGGUAUCAAAGUUACAUUAAAUUUCCAUGAAAUUGGGAAAGUGAAUAAUUCAAAUGUCACUUCUCCUGAGAGAGAAAUCUUACCAGAUGUCAGAGGGGAAAAGGGAUAGAGGGACAGAGAAAAAGACAUGAGAAACAAGGCUUCAUUUGCUCAUUCUGUUGCACACAGUGAUUUUAUUUUGUGUUUUCUGUUUGCUUUCUCAUGACCCAUCAUUCUCUAAACCUUAUUCAUGAUUUGAAGUGUAAAUUAGUAUAUUAGCAAUCAAAUAUUGCUCCCAUUAGCCCUCACUUGCUCUCGGCAUUGUAUCUGGAAGGGCCUAAUGCUCACCUGGUGUUGACUCUCCACCCAUGACAGGGGUAGAAUUUAAGUAGCAGGGACGCUGGACAUGCAAAUGGAACAAGUCUGCUGGGAGCGGGAGAAGGCCUAUUCAUUGACCAGUUUCACCAUAUGCUAAGGGAACACAAUAAUACGUCUAAAUUGGAGACAAAUUGCAAAAACUAAUUUGUGAACUGAGGCCCCAUUCCUUGGGGUAAAGUUCUUUUACCUCCACUGCCUUUGCCCAUAUAGAAACAACUAUGGAAAAAUUCAUCACAAACCAUCAUCUUCUGCAAGCCUUCUGAGGGCAUUAUUAACUUCUUCACAUGCUCCUGUUCAGGAAUCAUAGACUUCUGAACACUCAGGUUUGAACUGACUAGCUUUACCCUCAGCCUGCUCUCUUCAUGACACGUUAUUUUAUUCAUCUGCCCUAAAAUAACAAGGUUUAAUUGGCAAUCUGGUUCUGAUUUACUAAUAUCUCCUUGUGCAUGGAAGGAGACCUCGAAUUCUAUGUUCUCAUUCUCAAUCAACGUCAUCUUGGUAUUAACUCAGUGUUAUUACAUUAUUGAUUUUAUUCAUCCCAGGAGCUACAGCAAUUUAUCAUGGAAUUUACACUUCUUUAACAACCAACACAAAUCAAGACCAUUUGUUAGGCUUGCAGUGUAGAGUAGAAGGUUUUUGGAAUCUGAUCCUCAUUUUCCUUUACAUUUGUUUAGAUUUCCAGUUAAUCUGAAUUCCUAUCUUGCCCCUUUGAACUCUCAACCAACUGUAAAUACUUUUGAUAAAUUUCCAUGCUAAAAACUAUAUUGCAACACAGUUCUUUAAAAAAAAAAAGGAAAGCCAACUGCAAAAUACCCAGUGCUUUAUGAUGUAUUGAUGUAACUGGUUCAGGGAAAUAAACAGUCAGCUGCUUUAGGUUACACAGUGGCCAAUGUAAACAAUUAAAUCGGUUUGUAACCUCAAUCAUGCAUUUGGUUUUGCUACACAGUAUAACCAUUUGCAAUUUUAACUCUUGAAGGUGUGUAGUGAAUUUAAAAUGUCCUUUCCCAUUGCAUUUUACUGUCUAACUUAUAUGGAACAUAUGAAGAGAUUCUGGGAAAAUUCAUAGCCUGCUUCUGCAUUUGUUCAGUCUUCCUCUCUGGCUGGACUCUGUGAUGUCUGGAGAGAUACUGAAAGGAUGAUGUCAGAAGAAUGGGAAGUGAAAGCUGACGGGAAUUUUAGUCAGAUGCUUUGAACUGUUGAUUUAAAAAAAAUAAAGUUAAUGACUACGUAGCUGAAA